AUUGAACGCUGGCGGCAGGCCUAACACAUGCAAGUCGAGCGGAUGAAGGGAGCUUGCUCCUGGAUUCAGCGGCGGACGGGUGAGUAAUGCCUAGGAAUCUGCCUGGUAGUGGGGGAUAACGUCCGGAAACGGGCGCUAAUACCGCAUACGUCCUGAGGGAGAAAGUGGGGGAUCUUCGGACCUAACGCGAUUAGAUGAGCCUAGGUCGGAUUAGCUAGUUGGCGGGGUAAAGGCCUACCAAGGCGACGAUCCGUAACUGCUCUGAGAGGAUGAUCAGUCACACUGGAACUGAGACACGGUCCAGACUCCUACGGGAGGCAGCAGUGGGGAAUAUUGGACAAUGGGCGAAAGCCUGAUCCAGCCAUGCCGCGUGUGUGAAGAAGGUCUUCGGAUUGUAAAGCACUUUAAGUUGGGAAGAAGGGCAGUAAGUUAAUACCUUGCUGUUUUGACGUUACCAACAGAAUAAGCACCGGCUAACUUCGUG
rnacentral:rRNA from 1 species